AUGAGCGCUGGCGGCGUGCCUAACACAUGCAAGUCGAACGGAGUCCAGCCUUUAAGACCUUCGGGUCAAAGAGGGGAAGACUGAGUGGCGGACGGGUGAGUAACACGUGGGCAACCUGGCUCAUAGAGGGGGAUAACAGAGAGAAAUUUCUGCUAAUACCGCAUAAGCACACACUGCCGCAUGGCAGAGGGUGAAAAGAGAAUCGCUAUGAGAUGGACCCGCGUCUGAUUAGCCAGUUGGCAGGGUAAGAGCCUACCAAAGCGACGAUCAGUAGCCGAGCUGAGAGGAUGAACGGCCACAUUGGGACUGAGACACGGCCCAAACUCCUACGGGAGGCAGCAGUGGGGGAUAUUGCACAAUGGGGGGAACCCUGAUGCAGCGACGCCGCGUGAGUGAAGAAGUAUUUCGGUAUGUAAAGCUCUAUCAGCAGGGAAGAUAAUGACAGUACCUGAAUAAGAAGCCCCGGCUAACUACGUG
rnacentral:rRNA from 1 species